rnacentral:rRNA from 1 species
GAUGAACGCUGGCGGCGUGCUUAACACAUGCAAGUCGAACGGUGAAGGCGGAGCUUGCUCUGCUGGAUCAGUGGCGAACGGGUGAGUAACACGUGAGCAAUCUGCCCCUGACUCUGGGAUAAGCGCUGGAAACGGCGUCUAAUACUGGAUACGAGCUGCGAAGGCAUCUUCAGCAGCUGGAAAGAACUUCGGUCAGGGAUGAGCUCGCGGCCUAUCAGCUUGUUGGUGAGGUAACGGCUCACCAAGGCGUCGACGGGUAGCCGGCCUGAGAGGGUGACCGGCCACACUGGGACUGAGACACGGCCCAGACUCCUACGGGAGGCAGCAGUGGGGAAUAUUGCACAAUGGGCGAAAGCCUGAUGCAGCAACGCAGCGUGAGGGACGACGGCCUUCGGGUUGUAAACCUCUUUUAGCAGGGAAGAAGCGAAAGUGACGGUACCUGCAGAAAAAGCGCCGGCUAACUACGUG